UCCCGGGAAGGAGCCAAAAGCUGCAGGGACCCGGCGCCCGCAAUGCGGCAGCGGCGCAGGCCGCCACACCCCUCCCGCAGCCUGCCCGGCUUUAUUUACUCCGCCGGACGGAUACACCACGCGGAAGGGUGUACGUAGACACCGCCGGCGGAGCGGGUUCCAGCCCCCCGCAGGAAACUUGGCAAGGGAGGAGAAAAGGCCUCAGGCAACACAGGACCACGCGCACCAGCCCUGGACUCUGCCGGCUAAAGCCUUAGGCCCGAGGCCCUCACCUUCAACACCAAGUCGGCCAGGUAGACGGCAGUCCAACCACCCACCACCACCACCACCAGCGACACCGGAAUCAUAGUAGCAGCGGAUGGUCGGCGGGCCCCAGCGUCCUCCUUCUGCGAUCCACAACCAGCCGACCGCCCGGUGCCUUACAGCCCCAGCACCCGCGCAGGAACCAAGUUGCUACCGGGUUCUUUGCCCGGGUGGCAACGUUUCCUUCCGGAUCCUUCCGGAGCCCAGCAGUCAAAACAAAGUACUGAAUUGAAUCCUGCUGGUUGCUGGAAUUUAGCAGGAGUGGAAGCCAGUUGGUGGCAGCAGAAGAGGCCAGAUAGGACACAGAAUGGCAAUCAAGAAAGCUGGGAUUAAAAAAGAUCAAGCUUCUCUGUGAAAACGACUAUGUGGCUUCUACCCAGCAACCAGUGAGAAGCCGAGGCCCUUGGACCAACAGGUGGUGAGAAACUACAUCGUGCCCACCACCAUUUAAGUGAGAAUGGAAAUAGAUCCUUCCCCAGUUGUGCCUGUGAUGACUGCUUUGCCAUCAAACACUUUCAUUCCCACUUUAGAAGAAACCUUGAGCCAGAUGAAAGAGAGACAGUGGUUCCCAACCCACAGAAUUGUGGACUUAGAAAGACCCAGGAUGGUCAGAUGGCUUUAAUGGUAAAGGAUCUUGCUUCCAAGCCCAAGGACCCAAGUUUAAGCCUGAGAACCCAUGUGGAGAUUGAGCCUCAUGACCCACAUGGAGGCUUGGAUCUCCAUGGUUAAGGUGCUGGCAUCUGGAAAAAUCAAAAGUCCAAACACCACCGCUGACAGCUGUGACACUGACACGUUCCUGAGCUCCCUUCCGGGGUCCUCCUUUAGAUAAUGGAUCCUCCACUGACUGCAAGGGACCCUGAAGCACGCGAUGGAUCCACUGAAACAUCAUGGAUUCCUCUUCUGACUCCUCCAGCUCUGGGCCAUCAACGACACCAUGGAAGUCACCAGAAAGAUAGCAAACCUCCCUCCAGCUAAAUGGCAAAAGGAGAUAUCGAUCAUAUCACCAGAAGUCAAGUUUGCCCACCUGGGGCCAAGUUACAGCUCUAUGCACCAAGGGAGAAGUUAUUUUACUAAUGACUGUGUUUCUGACUGGACCUUGAGACCAUAAAAAACUCAUUCAUCCAUCUGAAGAAGGGACUGCAUUUAAUUUUUCCUUGGGAUUUGAAUCACUUCCCAUUUGCAUAGGCCAUCAUAACACUUGUAUUCCUAUUAAAGGCAAAUAUGAGAUUAUGUUCUACAAGAUUCUAGAACUACUAAUCAUAUGGGUCUCUUUGCAAGCUAUUCUCUAGAUUUUCCUGAUGAAUAUAAUGUAACUAAUAGUACAGGACACAGUUUGUGUCUCUAUGCUUGGUGCUUCUUGGUGGCAGAGUAUUACACACAAUGCUUUCACUGUUCUAAUAUAAUUUGCUUGCUUAUAGGAUACUCAUCAAAUGACAACUAGAUUUAUCUAUAACACCCCAAAUCAAAACCAUUUUGCAUAUCCUGCAAUCAAAAACUAAAAAAGGGUAAGAUAAAUGUUGAAACAUGAUCCAAGAAUGGAGUCCUGUGAGGGGAAUUCUGAGUGCUUGUGAGACAACUCCAAGAAAUCAAGAUUCUGUGA